UGCCUUAUUAAUCACAGGCCUUUAUCAACUGGCUCCACCGCCCCAGGAAACCCUUCUCUAAGAAGACGAAAGUUAUAAAUAACUUUAUUGUUCUGUCCAGAAAGUUUAUGAUUCCAGAGAAUGUCAGGAAACUUCAUGCUUCAGUAGAUAGCAUCAGACAGCUCUUGGCUCUCCACGACUUGACUGAAACACUCACCUCGUGCCCAUCGAUCCUGAACGUGGAGUAUCACAUUAUGUCGCAACUUGCUCCUUAUUCAACCCUAAUCAAGCUCCCAGAUCAAAGGAUUGGCCCCAAAGCAAACCUAUUAAACAUCUUGUUCCAAGAAACUCGAUUCUAACUGUUGGUUGCAACAGAUGUCACAGCAAGGAAUCCAGAUGUUUAAAAACCAGGAUGGAAUUAAGGAUGCCCAUGGCCUCAGGGGCGUUGUGGUGCAGUAUACUGGCUUAGUGGUAGUGCACCUGGUUAAGCACACAGAUUACCAAGUGCAAGGACUCGGGUUCAAGCCCCCGUUCC